GGGCUGUGUGCAAGUGUUGUCUUUCUCCAUUCUGAUCAAUGACAACUUGAUAUAUUUCUUUCAAUAUAAUGUUGGCCUUCAUCAAGGUCGCCUCUUGUCUCCUUAUCUAUUCAUUAUUUAUGCUAAUAUUCUUUUUCAUGCUUUAUGAGUAGCAACCUUUAGUCGGGCCAUAGAUCUCUAUGUUUCGAUAUGAAGAGCCCAACUAAUCUCACACCUACUUUUUUCAGAUGAUUUUUUUUAUGGUGGACC
rnacentral:lncRNA from 1 species